rnacentral:lncRNA from 1 species
AGGACCACUGGUUGAAGUUAGCCAGGAAAGAAAAGGUGUUGCGGCAUACUUGGUUUUGCUAUUUAUCCUCCGAGAACUUUAUUAUUGUAAAAGCCUAAAUUCCACUGCGUAAAUUCCAUGCAUAACACUAAGAAGCCAGUUUGGUUAAGUACAGGGCUGAAGCAGGUUGGUAGCAGUGAAGAUGGGAAGGACUAGCUGAAUGGAAGAGAAAAAUUGCAGAGGUAGAAUUAAGGGGAUGUGACAUCAUGGGAUAAUGGUAGGGUGGUCAGAGAGCAAAGAUUUCAACUGGCUGCUUUGGAGGAUUAGGGUAUCCUUAAUGUUAGCAGAAGAAUGUAGAGCCGGGGUUGAGAAAGAUUUUUACCUAUGUUACAGUUUUUAGAAAACAAAAAAAAAUCUGUUUAUGUCACAGGGCAUUUUAAUAUAGAAGUGUGAAAAAUGGAAAGUCAGUCUGAAAGGGGACGUCUUGAAUGUCGUUUUGAAGGUGUUGCGUUUGAAGUACUGAUGAAAUGCUGACAAAAAAUAAUAUCCAGGGAUAUUUUGGCACUAACGGCGUGAUCUGUAGCAAGAAAGUUGAGUGGUCUGAACUGUUGAGACUUCCAAGGAGACUUCAGAGAACCAAGACAGUGUAAAGGAAAACAGGAAAAAAGACUUGUUAGACAUUAUUAAGGGCUCGAAAGUUGAAUCGAGCACAGUAAAUGUACAAACAACAAAGCCACCCAGCAGAAAUCCACUUAAAAGCUACAACUGGCGGGCCUCAAAGAGCUGCAGAACAUGCUCCAAAGAAGAGAAAUGAGCCCCUGAGUCGUGAGUUGGUGGCAGCUGCAUCUGCUGCCCUCUUUUGACAAACAUUAG